GACGAACGCUGGCGGCGUGCUUAACACAUGCAAGUCGAACGGAAAGGCCCUGCUUUUGCGGGGUGCUCGAGUGGCGAACGGGUGUGUAACACGUGAGUAACCUGCCCUUGACUUUGGGAUAACUUCAGGGAACUGGGGCUAAUACCGGAUAGGAGCUCCUGCUGCACGGUGGGGGUUGGAAAGUUUCGGCGGUUGGGGAUGGACUCGCGGCUUAUCAGCUUGUUGGUGGGGUAGUGGCUUACCAAGGCUUUGACGGGUAGCCGGCCUGAGAGGGUGACCGGCCACAUUGGCACUGAGAUACGGCCCGGACGCCUACGGGCGGCAGCAGUGGGGAAUAUUGCACAAUGGGCGGAGGCCUGAUGCAGCAACGCCGCGUGCUGGAUGACGGCCUUCGGGUUGUAAACAGCUUUCGACUGUGACGAAGCGUGAGUGACGGUAAUGGUUAGAGAAGCACCGGCUAACUACGU
rnacentral:rRNA from 1 species